rnacentral:tRNA from 1 species
CUCCUGAUGGUGUAGUUGGUUCAUCACGUUCGGCUGUAAACCGAAAGGUCGCCGAUUCGAUUUCGGCUCGGGAGA